UACGUAGGGGGCAAGCGUUAUCCGGAUUUACUGGGUGUAAAGGGAGCGCAGACGGCAGUGCAAGUCUGAUGUGAAAGCCCGGGGCUCAACCCCGGAACUGCAUUGGAAACUGUACAGCUUGAGUGUCGGAGAGGUAAGCGGAAUUCCUAGUGUAGCGGUGAAAUGCGUAGAUAUUAGGAGGAACACCGGUGGCGAAGGCGGCUUACUGGACGAUGACUGACGUUGAGGCUCGAAAGCGUGGGGAUCGAACAGGAUUAGAUACCCCCGUAGUCCCU
rnacentral:rRNA from 1 species